rnacentral:lncRNA from 1 species
CAACAACUUUACAAGCAAGGUUUUGGAAUUCAGCAGUAUAUGUGGUGCCUAAUCUUGAUCCUUAUUGUAAAGAUAAGAAUUUAGUCUCUAUUACUUAUUCUUGAUCACUUUCUCUAAAUGUAGCCAUAAACUUUUCUAAGAAUGAAUUUAAGCUUUAUAAAGAAGUCUUUAAUAUUUUUCCAUCAAAGGUGCAAACUAAGAAAGAAUACUUCCAAAUAAAAGUGUGCUUAUGAAGUUGACUUGAGUAAAUCUAUCCGCAUAUUGGGAAGGUUGUAACCUUAGGUAGAGUUUAAUUUAUUGUAAAACCCUCAAA